rnacentral:lncRNA from 1 species
UAAAUUAAGAAAUCAAUCUUCACAUUUUUUGUGGAUCUAUUCCAAUGAAACAUGCUAAGUACUAAAGUGGAAAAGCUCUUCCCACAUUGGGUACAACAAUAAUAAUAUUGAUUACUCAUCCAAGAAAACAUACUCAACAAUUGAAUUAAAAUGCCAGAUGCACGUCCUCACAAUGAUGAAUAAAUUACACAAAACUGGUCUGGUUUAACUUCCAAGUUAUAAAAGGAUAAAGAUAGGGGGUCUCAAAACGUAACUGCCUUGAUCUGUUCAAGUUCCUGAUUUACCAAGACACAAAAGAAAGCCCAGAACCAAUGCACCUGCAUUGCCUAGGUUAGACAGGCUUCUAAGGCAUUCACUAAGUGGUCUUGCAGCAUACAGGAGCCACCCACGCAGCUAGGUCAUCAGCAGGUAGGCCGAGGCCCUCUAACCUAGAUGACUGGUGUAGUCAUGUACUAAAACACUACUGCUGCAUCUAUUGUAUCAUUACUCCCUACGUACAAACUUAUUUGGCUAAUUUUCUUGUCCUCGGUUAGCCUACUAGGUCAUUUCCCUAUUAAAUUUAAUUUUUAUAUCCUUCAUGGAUCUUAAGUUACACAUCUUUUUAUUUAUGUUUGCACAAGAUAUCUACUCUGUUGAUAUGGGUAGUUGGCUGCUCCAUUUUAUUGACUGUCCAUAGUAAGAUAUCGGAUAAUUAUUAUAAUCAUUUGGUUUAUAAGUGUGAACUAAACUUAUUUUGUGCCAACUAAUGCUUCGUGCCAUGAUACAUUUAUGUCAAGUAAUGCACCUUGCCAACUAAUGGUCUGUGCCAAAAAUGGCUUGUGCCAACUAGUGCACCAUGCCAAACAAUGCAUAAUGCCCCUUAUAUUGUGCAGAAAAAUUAUGUUUUCAUUUUUUAGUCCCAUAUGUGCCAAGAUACCUCUGUGCCGACUAAUCCAACAUAAUAGUUGCUUGUAUUAUUGACUGUGAGCAUAAAAUAUUUUAUUUGUUGGCCUGAUUGUGCCAUCUACAUCAUGCAUUUUACGAAGAGUUUGGUGACGGGGUGGUAGAUCACAAUUAUGGAUGCUAAUAUACCGGAGUUACGUGCCAGAUAUAUUGUACAGAUGAUCGUGAAAGGUCACAAAACAGAGUCAUCAUAGUUUGCUUUGUGCUACCAAUGUGACCAUAUCUAUGUUGGUUCCACUUUUUGUCUACAUUUAUG